AUACGGAGGGUGCAAGCGUUGUUCGGAAUUAUUGGGCGUAAAGCGCGUGUAGGCGGUUGGUUAAGUCUGAUGUGAAAGCCCUGGGCUCAACCCGGGAAGUGCAUUGGAAACUGGCUGACUUGAGUACGGGAGAGGGUAGUGGAAUUUCGAGUGUAGGGGUGAAAUCCGUAGAUAUUCGGAGGAACACCGGUGGCGAAGGCGGCUACCUGGACCGAUACUGACGCUGAGACGCGAAAGCGUGGGGAUC
rnacentral:rRNA from 1 species